rnacentral:telomerase_RNA from 1 species
ACCAGGGGGCAUAGGUGGUCCAGGCCGCCCUCUCCUGGUACGCAAGAAGCGCUGACCCAUGAGUCCUUUCGGUAAGAACCUCUGGUCUGAGGUCACUCGUCAGGCAGUGCCGCUAGAACCAGUACCACUGGUCAACAAAAUGGACUUCGAUGCUUGGGCCGCCGCUUUGGUGAAUUGUCAACGAGCAGAA